CGGCCUUCGCGCCACUGCUUUCACUAACGUAGGGGCCCGUGUCACCUUUGGUCACGCCGCAGGGGCGUGUCAUCAGGAACCACGACGCAUCGCUCCGUUCUCAUCGUCCGUGACGUCGCAGCCAGGCUACUCAGUCCGUUGGCCUCGCUCCGCCACUGUGUCGUGCUCCAGGCAGCAGGAGGCCUCCGCCACCUUCCUCGCGUUCGUCAAGGUCGACCCCUUUUUGCACUU
rnacentral:lncRNA from 1 species